UCUGUGUCAAAUUCUUGAUUAUGUUGGUCAACACAUAAUGUGUUAAAAUACUGUCCAAUCACAUCACUCUAAUCACGUCCGCGCUCACUCUAGCCCAUUUCGUUCUAUCAAAUGCCGUUACUAAAUACGGUUGACGCCUCCAGCAGCAGACAAUUCACCAAGGUAGAUACCGCCGGUAGUUCAUCCCAACUUGCUGCCGCCAAGGGCCGCUAGCUACGGCUGAGGGUCCUAGCGGCAUUGAAUAUCUGAGAGCUCUACUUCAGAGAAAAGGGCGAAGUGUCCUGGCAGACUACGAGGCUACUGGGAUGCUGUCAUUGACAUCAAGAAAGCUCCUCGUGAAAAUUGGUGUCAGCGAUUUGAUCGAGAGAAAGGGAUUCUGGACGCAGCAUUUGGGAGGAUGUUUCCAGGAAAGGCUGACAACUUCAUUCGGAAAUGGGAAGCAACCAUUGUGCCAAAACUGUGUGCCACCUGUUCCUGAGAAUGAUGCAUCUUGCUUUUCAAACACUGAUCCAGUUGCUGCCUCCAACUUCAGCAGGAAAAGGGAAAGGCGGAAAAUGAAUUGUCAAGUCAGCUCUGGGCCACCUCGACUUAGACAUGAAACUGAUUGGAACCAGUAUGUCCGGCCUGCUGAACGACAGUCCUCCUGAGCGCCUGUUGGAAAAUCGUCAUCCCCACCUUGUGUGUAUCGGUCAAGCCCAUGCUACUGCCCAAUACAUCAUCAUCGCUGAGAACGACAAAGUUGACAUCCCGCUCCAAGACAAUGGUUUGACUUUUGCAAUGGACAAACUGUUCAAAAUGUUUUGGAUUUGCAAUGCACAAUGACGUCUAUGUUUCACUUCUUUGAGACUGUUUACGAAGUGCCCCUCUCUAGUGGGAAGAGGGCCAAAGUGAUGGAGCUACUGUCAAAGCUCCAAGCCAUCCA